UUUCGCCCUAUAUUCUUGGGAGUUAUUAUUUAAUGCUCUUUUGCUAUUUGUUAAAGACCACUCACUAUUACUCGAUUUUUCGACACGUGUGAUGUAUGUAUGUAUCGGCACUGAUGAUGAUCAGAAAGACAUCUUUCGAUAAUACCGCAACCAUAAACUAUCCCACGAUUCCGUCUAUCCUCGUUUGAGUUUCAAUAUUUUAUUGUUCGUGCGAAUUUAAUAAUUCAAGGUUAUCACCUUUUUAUUCUAGAGUUGUAAGUUUUUAUAUUAAUUGCCUUUCUUUACUACUGCAGGUAAGUUUUGCUUAUCAAUCGAAUCGUUCAAGGCUCCACCCCGCCGCAGAACUUUAAACAAACCCGGUUACACGCGUGUUGUAGGAUCUAAUUCAGCAGCACAAAAGAUGUAAAAAAGAAUUGGAUUACAAUGCCUUUUACACAACUUGUCUAUCCUCUCAAACUUCUGAUCGAUACAAAAGCUCUUGCUCAGCGCUUUCGCCAAACUCCUGUAACCCUUAUAGCAUAUUUCUAUGCGAACUCUGAUCCGCAGCUUAAUGCAACUUAAACCAUAACAUUGGGAAGCUAUUUUUGCAUGCGUAAGGCUACCUAAUAUAUCGUCAUAGGCAAUAUGUUUUACUUGGCAUAUGAUUUCAUACUCUAAACCCAAGUCGUUUUGGUCUUAUUAUUUAAAGGAUGGUUAGUCCAUCAAUGGGAAGGCACUGAUU